UCUCUUCUACUUCCUUGGGAAGUCGCUUAACAGGUUUUAGUGUAACUUCUGGCUUUUCUUCUUCAGGUUUCUCCUUCUUAAUUGGUUUUAAAGUAACUUCUUCCUUCUCCACCUCUUCCUUAGGAAGACGCUUGACAGGUUUCAACGUCACUUCUUCCGGUUUUUCCUCCUCUUGCUUGGGAAGGCGCCUAACAGGUUUUAACGUAACUUCUGGUUUUCUUCUUCAGGUUUCUCCUUCUUAAUUGGUUUUAAAGUAACUUCUUCCUUCUCCACCUCUUCCUUAGGAAGACGCUUGACAGGUUUCAAUGUCACUUCUUCCGGUUUAUCCUCCUCUUGCUUGGGAAGUCGCCUAACGGGUUUCAGUUUAACUUCAGGUUUUUCCUCCUCUGGUUUCUCUUUCUGAAUUGGUUUCAGAGUAACUUCUUCUUUCUCCACUUCUUCCUUGGGAAGACGCUUGACAGGUUUCAACGUCACU